UACGUAGGGUGCGAGCGUUAAUCGGAAUUACUGGGCGUAAAGCGUGCGCAGGCGGUUUUGUAAGGCAGAUGUGAAAUCCCCGGGCUUAACCUGGGAAUGGCAUUUGGGACUGCAAGGCUGGAGUGCGGCAGAGGGGACUGGAAUUCCUGGUGUAGCAGUGAAAUGCGUAGAGAUCAGGAGGAAUACCGAUGGCGAAGGCAGGUCCCUGGGUUGACACUGACGCUCAUGCACGAAAGCGUGGGGAGCAAACAGG
rnacentral:rRNA from 1 species